CCUACGGGGGGCUGCAGUGGGGAAUAUUGGACAAUGGGCGAAAGCCUGAUCCAGCCAUGCCGCGUGUGUGAAGAAGGCCUUCGGGUUGUAAAGCACUUUCAGUGGGGAAGAAAGCCUUGGGGCUAAUACCCUCGAGGAAGGACAUCACCCACAGAAGAAGCACCGGCUAACUCCGUGCCAGCAGCCGCGGUAAUACGGAGGGUGCGAGCGUUAAUCGGAAUUACUGGGCGUAAAGCGCGCGUAGGCGGUCUGAUAAGCCGGUUGUGAAAGCCCCGGGCUCAACCUGGGAACGGCAUCCGGAGCUGUCGGGCUAGAGUGCAGGAGAGGAAGGUAGAAUUCCCGGUGUAGCGGUGAAAUGCGUAGAGAUCGGGAGGAAUACCAGUGGCGAAGGCGGCCUUCUGGACUGACACUGACGCUGAGGUGCGAAAGCGUGGGUAGCAAACAGGAUUAGAUACCCCAGUAGUC
rnacentral:rRNA from 1 species